UUUUGGCUUCUCUAUGAAGGGUUUACAUUCUUUUAAUUUAUCCUCUUUUCUUAAAAGAUUGAUUUGGCUGUCUAAUCCAUAGGACAAAGUCAUAGUCAGACCCUAUUGAGAGCUAAUUGCUACAAUAGAGUUAAACUCCCCUGACAUAGAUUUGCAAUCAUUUGUGUGAAUUCCUGUAAUUUGAGCAUUUGCUUAUUUCUCUUUUAGAUAUUUUAAUGGCAUAAAAUAAACUAAAGGUGAUGUUGACACUUUCUUUUUUGUUUUGCACUUAUUUGUGUGGCAUCGAUCAGUUAGAGGAUCAAUUAGAGGUUUCUAGUCUUGGAGAAGAACAUAAGGUACUUUAUUCAGAUUUCAUGAUAAGAUCUCCAAAUUAGGAAGUGCUUUUCAAUUUUUCUUACCAUUCAAAAUAACUUAAUGCCUCUUCUCUUCCAAACUUGUGCAAUCUAAAGGAGGUGAAAAUGUGAUUUCAAGCAAUAAACUCUGGUGUCUACAUGAAACUAAAAACAAAGCUAACUUUGUGCCCUAGAGCAGUGUUUCUACAAGCCUGAGGCCCUGAAUAUGUAGCUGCUGAAGAAUCUGCCAGCUUAAAGAAAAGGAAAGUGAGAAAUCUGAAGCUUCAAACCACAUUCUCAUUCAAAUAUCUAAUUCUAGAGGAUUAUGCUUCAAAAGAGGAAAGUUAUGGAUUUGGUUGAUAGAAGGAAGCAAAACGAAUGACAAAUAAAACUCUGUUUCUUUUUCUUUUACAUAUUUCCUAGUGAGUUUAUUUAUUAAAUUUAAUUUCUAUCUAUGUUGUGGAACUAUUUUUCUUGUUACUUUAAGAAUGUUUCUAUAUUACUAACAUUUGACAAUUAUAUAAAUAUAACUUUUUUUAUGUCGAUAUGACAUAAAAGGGCAUUGCAGGAGCAAAACAACAAGCUAGCAAAGGUAUAAGUCACAUUCUACAUUAACAUUUAAAUCUAAGUCUUCUAACCAAUAAAUGAGUCAAAAUUUAUAUUUUAUUGCAUUUAGACUAGAUGAAGGACAAAGAGAAGAAACUAACAUAACAUCCACCUACCCAGCUACCUAGAAACCACUUGCAAAUGUUCAUCCACCUCCAACUUAUAUUCUUCAAAGCUAAAGACACCAAAAAGAGACUUUCCUUCUCUAACUCACAGGUACUUGUCUUGUUUCUCUCUUCUAAGUAAGUAUUGUAGACAAGGGACGUCUCACAGUGUCACUUAUCUUGUUUCUCUCUUCUAAUGCCCUCGUCAGACUAUUAAUGUUGAUUGCGGAUAUUAUGUGAUGAAGUUCAUGAAAGAUAUAAUCACUCACCGACAACUUAUGAUCCCAAUGAAGUAUUUUGAAGAUUGUCAGUUCAAUUCCUAUGAUGGAGAGCAAUUGCAUGAAGUUAAAGAUGAGUGGGCCACUUAUGUAUUUAACAAUUUUUUUAGUAGUUAAUCUAUUAGAUAACUAUUAGAUAGUGGUAGAUGAAGUUUAAGGACGUGGUUGAUUAUGCACUUUAGAAAUUGUUUCAGAUUUAUGAAGCUUUUGUAUAUAUAUAUUGGUAGAUAUGCUGAAGUUUAGAGAAAAUAAAGCUUUAAGGACGUGGUAUGAAGCUUUUGUAGAAAUUGUUUCAAUUUUAUGGCUGAAUGUUGAUAUAGUUUUAGAAA